CCUUCGACAAGGUUCGCGCCGAGCGUAGCGAGACAACGACGCAAAGCGGCGGCCCGAAGGGUGAGGAACGCAGUGACGAAUAAUCCUUCCCCCACCACUA
rnacentral:sRNA from 1 species